GGCUUCCUGGCCUAAUGGUAAGGCGUCUGACUACGAUGGAGCAUCAUAAAAUACCCAGUUACGCUUCAAAAGUUAUCAGGAGAUUGUCGGUUCGACCCCGGCGGAAGUCA